rnacentral:rRNA from 1 species
UAGGGUCCGAGCGUUGUCCGGAAUUACUGGGCGUAAAGAGCUUGUAGGCGGUCUGUCGCGUCUGCUGUGAAAAUCCGGGGCUCAACCCCGGACUUGCAGUGGGUACGGGCAGACUAGAGUGUGGUAGGGGAGACUGGAAUUCCUGGUGUAGCGGUGAAAUGCGCAGAUAUCAGGAGGAACACCGAUGGCGAAGGCAGGUCUCUGGGCCACUACUGACGCUGAGAAGCGAAAGCAUGGGGAGCGAACAGG